CCUUUGCGUAUGUCGAGCUUCCUUCCUCAUGACCUUUGCCAUGGGUGGAGUGCCUCACUCUGGCCCCCAACAGUUUACAUUUAUAAUACAUCCAUCAUGUAAAUAUACCAUAUCCUCUAUAACUAAUUUCCUAUUGAUGGAUGUUUAGGCUGACUCCAGUUUGUCAAUAUUGAAACAAAGAUGAACAUUGUUGUUUAUAAAUAAGGCUCUAACAUGCAACCUUAGUCACCUAUUCCUAAGAGACUAUUUCCUGCUGUGGAUUCCUAGCAAGGGCUUGCUGCCUGAUACCCCUAGAAGCCAAUACUAUGGGACUUGCUUUUGAGAAAAGAAAUAGCUUUAUUGUGAGGUUGAUAGACAAAAGAGACAGGAGGCAGGGAUCAUCAACCCUGUCUCCUCCAUCCAAGGUUGGGAUAAAAUUUAAGGAGUUAGGGGAAGUUCAAACUUGGCUGAAGUUGAUUGGCUAGUCACUAAUCAACCCAUAUAUGGUAAACAAGCUACUCAGGUUGCUGGAAGCUAAAUUUUCCUUAUUGAAGGACUUCUUGGUUUGUGAAGAGCUCAUGUGGCAACAUUUGUAUUCUUUGACUUUCAUAUUCUUAAGAUUCUCGAUUCCUGGGUCAACCUAGAGUCAUGGGUUCCCAUCUCACAGAUGCACAGUGCUGUCUCUAAGACAAGUCCAGGUUUGAUUAAGCAACAACGUGUUUUAAGGAAGAAAACCAGUUUAGGAUGGUAAAGCUUGAGCUGCCAUCUUGGUGUAGCCAGCACUCCAUCCGUCUCACAAUCUGAAGUCAGAAGUCUUGAGUUGGAAAUCAAACCAAGAAACAAGAAUUUUAAUGGACGCAUAUGAAGCAGAAUCUAUCCUGUUUGCAAAUACUUCUAACUUAUGUUGAAAGGUACUGUCCAUAAAAGAUGUGGGUCCCUGGUAUGUGCCCAGUGUUAUAUCUACUGGAAUGCAAGAGUGAACCAGACAGAUUUUCUGGGUGUCAAGCAACAUCAACACUGAUGAACCCUGGAUUCAAGCCCAUCUUCUGGACCACAGGCUCACACUCUUUCACUACAAGAAGCCACAUGUUGAAGACGGAAGAGGUUUUAUUAGUCUGGGAUUCAAAUGCAAGAACCCCCAUGAUCAUCUCACCGUGACAACUAUUACACAUGCACACAUCUUUUCUCAUUGACUGGGAAUAUCGGUCCUAGAGUAUUAGAUACAUUGUUUUUUGCUUAAGUGUUUAACAUUUUGUAUAUAUUUGUUACUGCAGCUUAUCCUACCCUACGUACCUUGCACAGAAUCUGCAGGUUCUCAUUCUAUUUUUAUGAAAUGUAUAUAUUACAGGUAAACAGCCUGUAAGUGUUAAUAUGAUUCACUUACUUUUUGAUCAAAUAAAUUCAUUUGAU